UUGAAUCUUCUAAAGAUCCAUAUUUAACCGGUUCAUGAGCUUGUUCAAACCUCUUAACUAAACAUGGCAAAUACUACUUCUUGAAAAGCUUUAGCUGUGCUUCGUUCUUAAUGCUUGAAACUAAGAGGCUCAAGCUUUUUAUUCAAUAUUCAUUUAUUCAGAGAAUUUAUUCUAAAAAGAUUACAAAUGAACUAUAUAUUAUGAUGGUUUCAGUUGUCGUAUUUAGCAUCAUAUGAAUUGGGAUCAGCCUCAACAACUGUAUUGUCAGUUGCCGUCAAGUGAAG
rnacentral:misc_RNA from 1 species